AUCUUCAGGGCGGGGUGGAAGUCCCCACCGGCGGUACAGUCCGCGAGCCGAAAGGCACGAAUCGGUGCAAUUCCGAUACCGACAGUUAAAGUCUGGAUGGAAGAAGAA
rnacentral:ncRNA from 1 species